rnacentral:rRNA from 1 species
GUGCCAGCCGCCGCGGUAAUACCGGCAGCCCAAGUGAUGGCCGAUCUUAUUGGGCCUAAAGCGUCCGUAGCUGGCCGCACAAGUCCAUCGGGAAAUCCACCUGCUCAACAGGUGGCCGUCCGGUGGAAACUGUGUGGCUUGGGACCGGAAGGCGCGACGGGUACGUCCGGGGUAGGAGUGAAAUCCUGUAAUCCUGGACGGACCGCCGAUGGCGAAAGCACGUCGCGAAAACGGAUCCGACAGUGAGGGACGAAAGCUAGGGUCUCGAACCGGAUUAGAUACCCCGGUAGUCC